GAUGAACGCUGGCGGCGUGCCUAAUACAUGCAAGUCGAGCGAACGGACGAGAAGCUUGCUUCUCUGAUGUUAGCGGCGGACGGGUGAGUAACACGUGGAUAACCUACCUAUAAGACUGGGAUAACUUCGGGAAACCGGAGCUAAUACCGGAUGAUAUUUUGAACCGCAUGGUUCAAAAGUGAAAGACGGUCUUGCUGUCACUUAUAGAUGGAUCCGCGCUGCAUUAGCUAGUUGGUAAGGUAACGGCUUACCAAGGCAACGAUGCAUAGCCGACCUGAGAGGGUGAUCGGCCACACUGGAACUGAGACACGGUCCAGACUCCUACGGGAGGCAGCAGUAGGGAAUCUUCCGCAAUGGGCGAAAGCCUGACGGAGCAACGCCGCGUGAGUGAUGAAGGUCUUCGGAUCGUAAAACUCUGUUAUUAGGGAAGAACAUAUGUGUAAGUAACUGUGCACACCUUGACGGUACCUAAUCAGAAAGCCACGGCUAACUACGUGCCAGCAGCCGCGGUAAUACGUAGGUGGCAAGCGUUAUCCGGAAUUAUUGGGCGUAAAGCGCGCGUAGGCGGUUUUUUAAGUCUGAUGUGAAAGCCCACGGCUCAACCGUGGAGGGUCAUUGGAAACUGGAAAACUUGAGUGCAGAAGAGGAAAGUGGAAUUCCAUGUGUAGCGGUGAAAUGCGCAGAGAUAUGGAGGAACACCAGUGGCGAAGGCGACUUUCUGGUCUGUAACUGACGCUGAUGUGCGAAAGCGUGGGGAUCAAACAGGAUUAGAUACCCUGGUAGUCCACGCCGUAAACGAUGAGUGCUAAGUGUUAGGGGGUUUCCGCCCCUUAGUGCUGCAGCUAACGCAUUAAGCACUCCGCCUGGGGAGUACGACCGCAAGGUUGAAACUCAAAAGAAUUGACGGGGACUCGCACAAGCGGUGGAGCAUGUGGUUUAAUUCGAAGCAACGCGAAGAACCUUACCAAAUCUUGACAUCCUUUGACAACUCUAGAGAUAGAGCCUUCCCCUUCGGGGGACAAAGUGACAGGUGGUGCAUGGUUGUCGUCAGCUCGUGUCGUGAGAUGUUGGGUUAAGUCCCGCAACGAGCGCAACCCUUAAGCUUAGUUGCCAUCAUUAAGUUGGGCACUCUAAGUUGACUGCCGGUGACAAACCGGAGGAAGGUGGGGAUGACGUCAAAUCAUCAUGCCCCUUAUGAUUUGGGCUACACACGUGCUACAAUGGACAAUACAAAGGGCAGCGAAACCGCGAGGUCAAGCAAAUCCCAUAAAGUUGUUCUCAGUUCGGAUUGUAGUCUGCAACUCGACUACAUGAAGCUGGAAUCGCUAGUAAUCGUAGAUCAGCAUGCUACGGUGAAUACGUUCCCGGGUCU
rnacentral:rRNA from 1 species